GACGAACGCUGGCGGCGUGCUUAACACAUGCAAGUCGAACGGAAAGGCCUGCUUUCCCUUGUGGAUUGCGGGUACUCGAGUGGCGAACGGGUGAGUAACACGUGAGUGAUCUGCCCCCAACUUGGGUAUAAGCCUGGGAAACUGGGUCUAAUUCCCGAUAGGACUGCAGGGUGGUGCCUGUGGUGGAAAACGAUUUUCUAGUGGUUGGGGAUGAGCUCGCGGCCUAUCAGCUUGUUGGUGGGGUAAUGGCCUACCAAGGCGGCGACGGGUAGCCGGCCUGAGAGGGUGGACGGCCACAUUGGGACUGAGAUAUGGCCCAGACUGCUACGGGAGGCAGCAGUGGGGAAUAUUGCACAGUGGGCGGAAGCCUGAUGCAGCGACGCCGCGUGGGGGAUGACGGCCUUCGGGUUGUAAACUCCUUUCGACCGCGAGGAAGCCACCUGGUUGGAAGGGUGGUGACGGUAGUGGUAGAAGAAGCACCGGCUAACUACGUG
rnacentral:rRNA from 1 species